GGGAGGCAGUUGUAUAAUUAAGAGUUCAUGGUCACAAAAGUUUCAACAAGAAGUGUUGUCUGGCUGGGAAGCUUGAUCUAUUAAGCAGAAUGGGGAAUUGUAGAAACUGAACUACAACUUCCAUGAGACACUAUGGCAAAAUAUCCAAAUCUAAAUAUUUUUAGGAAGGAAACUUUGGGGGUUUUUUCAGUAGAAAGAAGGUAUUUUUUAUGAUAAAUUUUGUUUAUUCAGAAAUCCAAUUUUCUGUAGAAAAUUGUUUUGAUAGAAAAUUAUUAACUGUUCCUAUCAGUCAGUCCUAUAACACAAGUCCACAAAUCACCAUCAGAUAGUAGCUAUUAAUAGUUGGUACCAGUUUUGAAUUGGUUACUGGCAAUGAAUGUAUUGUUAUUCCCUGAUCUGUCUAAUCCGGUAUAAAAUAGUAUGGUAAUUAAUUAGAUAUUUGAUUAUACUUCAGGCAUUUAGAAGCUCAAAUGUUUGGGGGGAAAUGGAAUAUUUGAAAUUCUAUAACCAAUUUUUACUAUUUUCCUAAAUAUAGAAUGGUGAUUCCAUUCUUGCCACUGAAUUAUUUUGCUAAACAAAAAAAAAAAGAUAUUUGAGGCAAACAUUUAAGAUAGAGAAGGAUGCCAAGUGUAAAGAAUGUGCAGAAAGGUGUUAUGUCUACACACAGAGCCAAUCCACAAAACGGGUAGUCACUAAAAGAGCCAAGAUAAACAAGACUAUGUUGAAGCUAACUUAGUCCCCCAGAACCAUCAUGAGUGCGUUUAUAUAUUAUUGGAGCCAAGUGAACUUUAACUGUGUCUUAUUUAACUUGGCCAUUUACAUGGCUAACCUUUUUUGUAAGUUGGCUCUGUUUGUAGCUAUCACACCUUUUGAUUACUGACCUUUUCUUGCCUAACUCUGGAUUUUUAAUCUAUAUUAAAUAUUUUUAUCUUGUUUAAUUUCCUUGAUGUUUUUCUUACUGUAGCAAAUAUUACAGAAACUAUUUUAUGAUAGAAGGCACAUUUUUUUAUUAGAAAAUUCCUUAGCCUCUUAAAGCCAAUAGCUUAGACAUCUAUAUGACUGGUAACACCUGACUUUUUCCACAGGAUGUUGGUGAAGGAAAAGCUUUUAUUGAAAUAAAUGUUCACGUUUCAUUGAAAGAUCUUGUGCAGAUGUAAGUUCACUGCACAGUCUUCAUCAAAAGCUUAGUUAAAAGCAUCACCUCUGAGGCAUUUUGGACACAGUGAAAGGAAACAGCUGGGCAAGUCCAGAGCUUUCAAUUCAAGAGAGAACUGCUCUCCAGGCCUGGCAUUGUUCACUGCACUGGAUUCUAUCCUGACUGGAGUCUUAAAAUAGUGUGGCAUACAUUUUUUUAUAAACAUAAUAAAGCCAUUUUCUAAAACUGCAGUGCUCAAUUAAAGUUUUAUCUCAAGCUACAUAAUAUAAAUUAUUUUCAGUAACAAAAUUAAUCUAAUAGGGUAUUUAACUUAUGGGGAACAUACAUAUUCUGAUCCAAAAUAAUGAGUUACUGAUAUACCUUUGCCCACAAUAAUGGUUGUU